UACGUAGGGUGCGAGCGUUAAUCGGAAUUACUGGGCGUAAAGCGUGCGCAGGCGGUUUUGUAAGCCAGAUGUGAAAUCCCCGGGCUUAACCUGGGAAUGGCAUUUGGGACUGCAAGGCUGGAGUGCGGCAGAGGAGACUGGAAUUCCUGGUGUAGCAGUGAAAUGCGUAGAUAUGCGGAGGAACACCGAUGGCGAAGGCAAUCCCCUGGGCCUGCACUGACGCUCAUGCACGAAAGCGUGGGGAGCAAACAGG
rnacentral:rRNA from 1 species